GAAAAACAACCGCACAUCAUAAAAUUAUAAUACUUUAACUUUCAAAAUUUAUUGUUUAAGAAAAUUCAAUUACAUUUACAUAAAUACAUAAUGCUUUUAUGUAAACUAGCUUCAAUAACAUCUCAGCAUCGCAUUGAAGAAGAUUUGCACAUCCAUGCGGGCAGGGCUUUCAAGCGCUUAUCUGCCGCAAUACCUGUCAAUCGGACAGUGAAUGAAUUAUACGAAAUCAAAGCAGAAGAAAUCAAAGAAAUAGACAAAGCAAAGUUUGAUAACUAACAACAACACUUCCUUGUUUUGUACGAGUCUUCGAUAGCGUCUACGCAGUGCGGCUGAGCGUAUAAAUAACAAAUACUUGUAAAUUCCUUAGACAUUGUUUGUGUAGGCAGUGUUGUUGUUGGCGCUCGUAGAAGAACUUAUCACAAGAAUAAGUUAAAUAAGUUUUGAGGUACCGGAUUUUGCACAUGUCUCUUACUCUUCAAGAAGCUGCUCAUUUGUCGAAACCGCCGAUAUCGAACCACUAUAGGAUAUAGUUGUUAUACAAACUGACCGAUCAAAAUCAAGUUCUUGUGUGGAAAACUUUUGUAUUUGUCGAGAUAUCCUCAGGAAGAGUUAUUCAGGUCGGACCAUUAUAGCUAUCAAACGAACUGACCGAUCAAAAUCAAGAUGACAAGUACUGGAUUAGGGUAUGCCUUCCAAUAACUUUAUAAAAUUAUGAAUUUUGUACUAUUAGCUGCCUAUUUCGCUGCUCUCUGGAAGAGAUAAAAAAUGAAUAGAAGACGGAAACCGGACGGGGAUUCUUUUGAAGGAGAUAAGGAGAUUCGGCACAGAGGUUUGAAGAAACCGAAAGCAACUAUAAGUUAUCACAAGCAUCUCAUCUCACACAGCGCUGACUUGCUUCUUUGAUGAGAAUUAUCGUUUUUAACACGCAUAUUUAUAUCGCCCAAAAUAAUUUAUUUUCAUAUCCAAAUGAAAGGGUUUAUCUCUAGCUCAUUUCAAUAUUGCCAUACAGCAUUUUAUUCGAAAUUACAACAAACAUAUUGGCAUUUUUUCACUUAUGAAAAAUUCUAUUGCGCCGGCAGCAAUAAAUCAAAUGCGCGUUAAACGCCCACACAAGAAAAAAAUGAAA